GAUGAAGAACGCAGCGAAAUGCGAUACGUAAUGUGAAUUGCAGAAUUCAGUGAAUCAUCGAAUCUUUGAACGCAUAUUGCGCUCUCUGGUAUUCCGGAGAGCAUGCUUGUUUGAGUAUCAGUAAACACCUCAACUUCCAUAUCUUUUUUGAAAUGGGAGUUGGACUUGAGUGAUCCCAACGCUUUUCCUCACCGAAAAGUGGCGGGUUACUUGAAAUGCAGGUGCAGCUGGACUUUUCUCUGAGCUAUAAGCAUAUCUAUUUAGUCUGCCUAAAAAACCGAUUAUUACCUUUGCUGCAGCUAACAUAAAGGAGAUUAGUUCUUGUGCUGACUGAUGCAGGAUUCACAAAGACAGCUUCGGCCGACUUUGUAAACUCGAUCUCAAAUCAAGUAAGACUACCCGCUGAACUUAAGCAUAUCAAUAAGCGGAGGA
rnacentral:misc_RNA from 1 species